GAUGAACGCUGGCGGCGUGCCUAAUACAUGCAAGUCGAGCGAACAGACGAGGAGCUUGCUCCUCUGACGUUAGCGGCGGACGGGUGAGUAACACGUGGAUAACCUACCUAUAAGACUGGGAUAACUUCGGGAAACCGGAGCUAAUACCGGAUAAUAUAUUGAACCGCAUGGUUCAAUAGUGAAAGACGGUUUUGCUGUCACUUAUAGAUGGAUCCGCGCCGCAUUAGCUAGUUGGUAAGGUAACGGCUUACCAAGGCAACGAUGCGUAGCCGACCUGAGAGGGUGAUCGGCCACACUGGAACUGAGACACGGUCCAGACUCCUACGGGAGGCAACAGUAGGGAAUCUUCCGCAAUGGGCGAAAGCCUGACGGAGCAACGCCGCGUGAGUGAUGAAGGUCUUCGGAUCGUAAAACUCUGUUAUUAGGGAAGAACAAAUGUGUAAGUAACUAUGCACGUAUUGACGGUACCUAAUCAGAAAGCCACGGCUAACUACGUG
rnacentral:rRNA from 1 species